AUUGAACGCUGGCGGCAGGCCUAACACAUGCAAGUCGAGCGGAUGAAGGGAGCUUGCUCCUGUAUUCAGCGGCGGACGGGUGAGUAAUGCCUAGGAAUCUACCUGGUCGUGGGGAAUAACGUCAGGACACGGACGCUAAUACAGCACACGUUCUGAGGGAGAAAGUGAGGGAUCUUCGGACCUCGCGCUAUCAGAUGAGCCUAGGUCGGAUUAGCUAGUUGGUGGGGUAAAGGCCUACCAAGGCGACGAUCCGUAACUGGUCUGAGAGGAUGAUCUGCCACACUGGAACUGAGACACGGUCCAGACUCCUACGGGAGGCAGCAGUGGGGAAUAUUGGACAAUGGGCGAAAGCCUGAUCCAGCCAUGCCGCGUGUGUGAAGAAGGUCUUCGGAUUGUAAAGCACUUUAAGUUGGGAGGAAGGGCAGUAAGUUAAUACCUUGCUGUUUUGACGUUACCAACAGAAAAAGCACCGGCUAACUUCGUG
rnacentral:rRNA from 1 species